GGGGCCCGUAUUGUACAGAUCUGACCAUCGUAAUCUAUCUUCUCCGCAAUAACUAUCUACCGCCAUUCGUGAAAUGAAGUAGAAGUUUCACUAUCUUCUCUCGUAAUUGCUCUCAUAUCCUCUCUUUUAAAUCGCUACUGCUGACAUUUCAAAGAAUCUUAGUCCUUUUCUCGAUAAUUUUUGCUCAACUGCAUGGAUUCUUUUUCGCCAUCACAACUCUAAGCAGCUUUUCUUCUCCGAUCAGCAAAGGGGUUGCAGGGUCACCAUGGGAGCCUGCAGCUCAAAGCCUCAUCAAAAACGCAAUCCCUAUUCCAAAAGAGAAACUUUGGAACUACCGCAAAUCCCGGAAUCUACCAUUAAUCUCGAAACUCCGGUGAGAGAAGAUGGCGUCGAAAAAGCAGGGAAGAAGUCGCCGUUCUUCUCAUUCUACAGCCCGAGUCCCGCCCGUUCCUUCUCUUCCAAGAAAUCUUCCCCGCCGGCGGCUGGGGGGACACCGCAGCCGAAGAUAUUGAAGAUGCCAUUUCCACCGCCGUCGCCGGCGAAGCACCUGAAGGCGAUGCUAUUGAGGAGGCGUGGCGGUGACGAGGCAGCGAAGUCGAGAGAUAAAGGGGUAAUGGAGGCGGAGAAGGGCUGCGAGACGGCGGAGUUGAAUAAAAGUUUUGGGUUUCCUAUGCAGUUCACGAGUAGGUACGAGGUUAAGGAAGAAGUGGGACGAGGACAUUUUGGGUAUACAUGUUCUGCCAUUUCCAUGAAAGGGAAGCUUAAAGGCCAAAAAGUUGCUGUCAAGACUAUUCCCAAGGCAAAGAUGACUACAGCAAUUGCUAUUGAGGAUAUAAGAAAGGAGGUUAAAAUAUUGCGUGCCUUGACAGGACAUAGCAAUCUUGUACAAUUCUAUGAUGCUUUUGAAGAUAAUGAUAAUGUCUAUGUCGUAAUGGAGCUGUGCCAAGGAGGAGAGCUUCUAGAUAGAAUACUUGCAAGAGGUGGGAAAUACUCAGAAGAUGAUGCAAAGGCUGUUAUGGUACAGAUUCUAAAUGUUGUAGUAUUUUGUCAUUUCCAGGGUGUGGUGCACCGAGAUCUUAAACCUGAGAAUUUUCUGUUUACCUCCAAGGAUGAAAAUUCUGAGUUGAAACUUAUCGACUUUGGCUUAUCAGAUUUUGUUAGACCAGAUGAAAAGCUUAAUGACAUUGUUGGAAGUGCAUAUUACGUCGCACCUGAAGUUUUACAUAGAUCAUACAGUACAGAGGCCGAUGUGUGGAGUAUAGGCGUAAUAGCUUAUAUUUUGUUAUGUGGUAGUCGCCCAUUUUGGGCUCGAACAGAAUCCGGCAUAUUUCGGGCAGUCUUGAGAGCUGAUCCAAGUUUUGAGGAAGCCCCUUGGCCUUCAUUAUCGUCAGAGGCAAAGGAUUUUAUCAAACGCUUAUUGUACAAAGACCCUCGAAAACGGAUGACGGCUGCUCAGGCUCUAUGUCAUCCAUGGAUCCGAAAUUACAAUAACGUGAAAGUACAACUCGAUACUCUUAUAUUCAGACUAAUGAAAGCGUAUAUGCGAUCAUCUUCUUUGCGUAAGGCUGCCUUAAGGGCUCUAUCUAAGACAUUGACUGCGGACGAACUCUUUUAUCUUAAGGAGCAAUAUGUAUUGUUGGGGCCAAACGAAAGUGGUGGCAUAGCUUUUGAAAAUAUAGAAGCGGCACUGAUGAAAAAUGCUACCAACAUCAUGAAGGAGUAUCAAAUUCCCCAUUUCCUUGCAUCAUUUAUUUGUUGUUCAACGACAGCUAAAUGUGCUUCAAUAUAGAAGGAUGUAUUUUGAAGAAUUCUGUGCAGCUGCUUUAAGUGUUCAUCAGUUGGAGGCACUCGACCGAUGGGAGCAACAUGCUCGUUCUGCAUAUGAGAAUUUUGAGAAGGAUGGAAACAGGAUUAUUCUCAUCGAGGAACUUGCAUCAGAACUUGGACUUAGUCCUUCAGUGCCAGUCCAUGCUGUUCUCCAUGACUGGAUAAGACAAACUGAUGGAAAACUAAGCUUCUUUGGGUUUGUCAAAUUGUUGCACGGCCCAUCCACCCGUUCAACGUCGAAGGCUCAGUAAAAGCUUAAAGCGCCUUUACAGAGCAAAGGUUGCACGAAAUGGAACCGGUCUCGAGGCAUAGCAUUUGAGCAAGAAUGGCACGAACUAUAAGCUUCAACUCUGCGAUUACAUGAUAUCAUGUCCUUAUUUAGCAUAUGACCUUUCCUUCAAUACUUUGUAACUUGAAAUAGUCUUUCUAUUUGUGAUUGUUUGAUAGAAUAGUAAUAAUGGCUCGAUGAAAUUCUUCGUGGAUUCAAAAGAAACGAAGGCCAGAAAUUCCAAUGGAAACUGUCUUCUUGAUUCUUUUGCAUCUCAAAAAUAACAAAUAGAAACCUAACAGAUCUAGAUUUUGAAUCUUCUUGAGUUAUUCGUUGUAUUUCCCACGUUGGCUGAUCUCGUCUUUUUCAUAUUGUA